rnacentral:rRNA from 1 species
GACGAACGCUGGCGGCGUGCUUAACACAUGCAAGUCGAACGCUGAAGCUUGGUGCUUGCACUGGGUGGAUGAGUGGCGAACGGGUGAGUAAUACGUGAGUAACCUGCCCUUGACUCUGGGAUAAGCCUGGGAAACUGGGUCUAAUACUGGAUACGACAUGUCACCGCAUGUUGGUGUGUGGAAAGGGUUUUGCUGUUUUUGGAUGGGCUCACGGCCUAUCAGCUUGUUGGUGGGGUAAUGGCCCACCAAGGCGACGACGGGUAGCCGGCCUGAGAGGGUGACCGGCCACACUGGGACUGAGACACGGCCCAGACUCCUACGGGAGGCAGCAGUGGGGAAUAUUGCACAAUGGGCGGAAGCCUGAUGCAGCGACGCCGCGUGAGGGAUGACGGCCUUCGGGUUGUAAACCUCUUUCAGCACGGAAGAAGCGAAAGUGACGGUACGUGCAGAAGAAGCGCCGGCUAACUACGUG